rnacentral:rRNA from 1 species
UACGUAGGGUGCAAGCGUUAAUCGGAAUUACUGGGCGUAAAGCGUGCGCAGGCGGUUUUGUAAGACAGAUGUGAAAUCCCCGGGCUCAACCUGGGAACUGCAUUUGUGACUGCAAGGCUAGAGUGUGUCAGAGGGGGGUGGAAUUCCACGUGUAGCAGUGAAAUGCGUAGAUAUCAGGAGGAACACCGGUGGCGAAGGCGGGUCUCUGGGCCGAAAUUGACGCUGAGGAGCGAAAGCGUGGGGAGCAAACAGG